UAACGCCUGCGGUAUUCGUGAUCAUUAAAUGUUCCUGAACUGAUAUCGAAUAGAGGAUCGGGCCAUUGGUGGAGCACAAACCGGACACGAUCCGGAUCUGCAAAGCUAAUUUAAGGUAGAUACUCACCUUAAUUCUGGUUCGAGAACUUUUAUUCACACGGUACUGCGGGUUUUAU
rnacentral:other from 1 species